AUUGAACGCUGGCGGCAUGCCUUACACAUGCAAGUCGAACGGCAGCGGGGGAGAAGCUUGCUUUUCCUGCCGGCGAGUGGCGAACGGGUGAGUAAUACAUCGGAACGUGCCCUGUUGUGGGGGAUAACUAGUUGAAAGAUUAGCUAAUACCGCAUACGACCUGAGGGUGAAAGUGGGGGACCGCAAGGCCUGCUGCUAUAGGAGCGGCCGAUGUCUGAUUAGCUAGUUGGGGGGGUAAAGGCCUACCAAGGCGACGAUCAGUAGCUGGUCUGAGAGGACGAUCAGCCACACUGGGACUGAGACACGGCCCAGACUCCUACGGGAGGCAGCAGUGGGGAAUUUUGGACAAUGGGCGCAAGCCUGAUCCAGCAAUGCCGCGUGUAUGAAGAAGGCCUUCGGGUUGUAAAGCACUGUUGUCCGGAAAGAAAUGGCUCUGGUUAAUACCUAGGGUCGAUGACGGUACCGGAAGAAUAAGGACCGGCUAACUACGUGCCAGCCGCCGCAGUAA
rnacentral:rRNA from 1 species